GGCCUGGCUGGGCGGUCCGCUUCACAGCGUGUACUGUCUGGCUGGGUCUUACUUCUUGGUGAGCUGGCGUGCCCUUUAUUGGUGUGCGUUGGGGAACCAGGACUUUUACCUUGAGAAAAUUAGAGUGUUCAAAGCAGGCUAUUGCCUGAAUACAUUAGCAUGGAAUAAUAAAAUAGGACGUGCGGUUCUAUUUUGUUGGUUUCUAGAGUCGCCGUA
rnacentral:rRNA from 1 species